rnacentral:rRNA from 1 species
AUUGAACGCUGGCGGCAGGCCUAACACAUGCAAGUCGAGCGGAUGAGUGGAGCUUGCUCCAUGAUUCAGCGGCGGACGGGUGAGUAAUGCCUAGGAAUCUGCCUGGUAGUGGGGGACAACGUUUCGAAAGGAACGCUAAUACCGCAUACGUCCUACGGGAGAAAAGUGGGGGAUCUUCGGACCUCACGCUAUCAGAUGAGCCUAGGUCGGAUUAGCUAGUUGGUGAGGUAAAGGCUCACCAAGGCGACGAUCCGUAACUGGUCUGAGAGGAUGAUCAGUCACACUGGAACUGAGGCACGGUCCAGACUCCUACGGGAGGCAGCAGUGGGGAAUAUUGGACAAUGGGCGAAAGCCUGAUCCAGCCAUGCCGCGUGUGUGAAGAAGGUCUUCGGAUUGUAAAGCACUUUAAGUUGGGAGGAAGGGCAGUAAGUUAAUACCUUGCUGUUUUGACGUUACCAACAGAAUAAGCACCGGCUAACUUCGUG